AUUGAACGCUGGCGGCAUGCCUUACACAUGCAAGUCGAACGGCAGCACGGGGGCAACCCUGGUGGCGAGUGGCGGACGGGUGAGUAAUACAUCGGAACGUGUCCUGUAGUGGGGGAUAGCCCGGCGAAAGCCGGAUUAAUACCGCAUACGCUCUACGGAGGAAAGGGGGGGAUCUUAGGACCUCCCGCUACAGGGGCGGCCGAUGGCAGAUUAGCUAGUUGGUGGGGUAAAGGCCUACCAAGGCGACGAUCUGUAGCUGGUCUGAGAGGACGACCAGCCACACUGGGACUGAGACACGGCCCAGACUCCUACGGGAGGCAGCAGUGGGGAAUUUUGGACAAUGGGGGCAACCCUGAUCCAGCAAUGCCGCGUGUGAAGAAGGCCUUCGGGUUGUAAAGCACUUUUGUCCGGAAAGAAAACGCCGUGGUUAAUACCCGUGGCGGAUGACG
rnacentral:rRNA from 1 species